rnacentral:lncRNA from 1 species
AAAUGGACACGAUUCACGAAUCCUCAAGAAAAAGAUCCGGAGAGGAUCCUGUUGGACUAGCCCAUAAUACAUUCCUUGCGUGCUCUGUAUCUGUCGGCCUCAUUUUUCACAUGCAGACAUGACAACACAACAUCAACUAACAACAAGAAGUAUGGACCAACCAAUCAGUUAACAAUUGAAACGCCUGGCAAAGCAUGAACCAAUCUCUUAAAUUCCUAGAGCAAAGGAAAUUAAUUUACACCUUAAUUUUAUUCAGCAUGGCAAGUGCUCCAUUAUUGUCACCUUCAUUGGCUCCCAACAAGUCUCAAAACGAUGAGCUUCUCCCCUUAAUCAGUCACCCAAAAUUCGCUGUCCAAGGGGAGAUUAUGAUGCUGGUUCUAGUCUUGCUAUUUGCCACCUUCCUCAUUGCUCUCUUACUCUUUCUCCACAGAAGGGGUACUUUUCCUGGUUCUUCACAUGAAGCUGAUCAUGGACCCAAUUUGAGGGAUGCUCAUAGCUAGCCUGGCUAUAGUAAUAAUGGGUGUGGCAGAAUCUUUAUUUCCAUCUUCUGAUAUAGCAUGGAAGAACUUCAUAAUAAUUCAAGAUGAAGCAUUAGUGAGUUAUUGGUUCUUUUAUUCCCAUCUAGGUUUGAUUGUAAAAUAUAUCCUUAUCCUUAAGUGUUGCCAUUAUUCUUACCAAUGCUAGCUAUUUUAAGUAAGUUAUUGAUUAACAUUUCUUUUUCGUCUAAAUAUUAUUGGUUGCAAAAGACUUUUAACUCAAUUGGUUAAUAAUAUUUACUCUACAUCUGAGGUAUCGAGUUUGAGUCACCCCUUUUCUAUAUUGCAUGUAUAAAUAUUGGUUAGUUUCUAUUAGAUUAUUUUGACAUUUUCUAGGGAAUUCAGUUAUUUCAAAAUAUGAUUGGACCAUUAGAAUUGCUAAGGUUUUAUCUUUCCUCUUACUGAGAGAGGUUAGAGAUUGGUUUUGGAUAUUUCUACAACCAAGAUAAAGUGAUUAUAUAUAUAAAACUAGGCCAGACAAACGGGUUGUGUCUGUUAUGUUUGUGUCAUUUUCAUAUAACACCUGUAAUCUUAACAGGUCGUGUCGUGUCAUAUCCAUUAUCUUAACGGGUCUUUAACAGGUCGGGUCACUUUACCCCGUUAUGACCCGUUAAGAAAAAUAUUUUUUUUCUUCUUAAAUUUGCACAUACCACACAUUGCCACAUAAAUAUUACUUCAAAACAUUAAAACACAUUUAUCGUUUAAGUACUAAAUCUACACUCUAAAAUAAGAGCCUAAUAAACAAACAUCCAUACACUAGUAGUCUAUUACAAAAUAUUAAAUGUGCAAGGAUAAGCAAAAUGAAAGAGUUUGUUUUUCCUUUCUCAAAAGUUUAAACAUUGCCAAUGGAACUCAAAGCUUGCAUGUUAUUCCGUUUACAAAAUCCUCAAUUUUCAUCGAUCAUCAUGACAUAAGAUUUUGUGGUAUCCACUAGUGUAAAUAUUUUAAAUUGAAGGUCGAAUUCAUUCAUUGUAUUCAUAUAGGGUCAAGUAGUGUAGCUGUAAAAAAUCAUCAAAAUAGAAGUUAAAAUCACCGUUAAAUCGUGAUUUUUCGUUGAUAAUCGUCGAAAAUUUUUGUCCUGUUACUUGAUAUCUGAAUGUUUGUUUUUUGCGAUUUUUGGCGUAUGCGAUCUUAAAGCAUAUACAAACAAGUUUGACGGUUAGAUAGUUAAAAUUAGUUUCGUAGAAUGCAUAUCCCAUCAAAACGAUAGAUUCACUAACACUUAGAGUUUAUUUAUACUUUCAUUAAGUAUAACAUAAGAUUUUGUGGUAUCCACUAGUGUAAAUAUUUUAAAUUGAAGAUUGAAUUCAUUCAUUGUAUUCAUAUAAGGUCAAGGAGUGUAAUUGUAAAAAAUCAUCAAAAUCAGGGUUAAAAUAACCGUUAAAUCGUGAUUUUUCUUUGAUAACUGUCGAAAAGUUUUGUCCCGUUACUUGAUCUCUGAAUGUUUGUUUUUUGUAAUUUUUGGCAUAUAUGAUCUCGAAGUAUAUAUAAACAUGUUUGACGGUUUGAUCGUUGAAACUAGUUUCAUAGAAUGCGUAUCCUAUCAAAACAAUAGAUUCACUAACACUUAAGAGUUUAUUCAUACUUUCAUUUAAGUAUAACAUAAGAUUUUGUGGUAUCCACUAGUGUAAAUAUUUUAAAUUGAAGAUCGAGUUCAUUCAUUGUAUUCGUAUAGGGUCAAAGAGUACAGCUGUAAAAAAUCAUCAAAAUCGGAGUUAAAAUAACCGUUAAAUCGUGAUUUUUCAUUGAUAACCGUCGAAAAUGUUUGUCCCGUUACUUGAUCUCUGAAUGUUUGUUUUUUGCGAUUUUUGACAUAUACGAUCUUGAAGCAUAUACAAACAAGUUUGAUGGUUGGAUCGUUGAAAUUAGUUUCGUAGAAUACGUAUUCCAUCAAAACGCUAGAUACACUAACACUUAAGAGUUUAUUCAUACUUUCAUUAAGUACAAUAUAAGUUUUUGUGGUAUCCACUAGUAAAUAUUUUAAAUUGAAGAUCGAAUUCAUUCAUUGUAUUCAUAAAGGGUCAAGGAGUGUAGCUGUAAAACAUCAUCAAAAUCGGAGUUAAAAUAACCGUUAAAUCGUGAUUUUUCGUUGAUAAUCGUCGAAAAGUUUUGUCCCGUUACUUGAUCUUUGAAUGUUUUUUUUUUCGAUUUUUGGCGUAUGUGAUCUUGAAGCAUAUACAAACAAGUUUGACAGUUGGAUCGUUGAAAUUAGUUUCGUAGAAUGCGUAUCCCAUCAAAAGGAUAGAUUCACUAACACUUGAGUUUAUUUAAACUUUCAUUAAGUAUAACAUAAGAUUUUGUAGUAUCCACUAGUGUAAAUAUUUUAAAUUGAAUAUUGAAUUCAUUCAUUGUAUUCAUAUAGGGUCAAGGAGUGUAGCUGUAAAAAAUCAUCAAAAUCGGAGUUAAAAUAACUGUUAAAUCGUGAUUUUUCGUUUAUAACUGUCGAAAAGUUUUGUCCCAUUACUUGAUCUUUGAAUGUUUGUUUUUUGCAAUUUUUGGUGUAUGCGAUUUUGAAGUAUAUACAAAUAUGUUUGAUGGUUGGAUCGUUGAAACUAGUUUUGUAGAAUGCGUAUCCUAUCAAAACAAUAGAUUCACUAAGACUUAAGAGUUUAUUCAUACUUUCAUUAAGUAGUGUAAAUAUUUUAAAUUGAAGAUCGAGUUCAUUCAUUGUAUUCAUAUAGGGUCAAGGAGGGUAGCUGUAAAAAAUAAUCAAAAUCAGAGUUAAAAUAACCGUUAAAUCGUGAUUUUUCGUUGAUAACCGUAAAAAAGUUUUGUCCCGUUACUUGAUCUUUGAAUGUUUGUUUUUUGCGAUUUUUUGCUGAUGCGAUCUCGAAUCAUAUACAAACAAGUUUGACGGUUGGAUCGUUGAAAUUAGUUUCGUAGAAUUUGUAUCCCAUCAAGUUCAAUGGUGUGUGUAUAUAUAUAUAUAUUUAUUAAGUAGAUUUAAAUUUAUUUAUUUUGUACAUAUAACACUUAAGAAAUUGAACGGUAUGUAUAU